UACCUGCGGAGGGAUCAUUACCGAGUUUACAACUCCCAAACCCCUGUGAACAUACCACUUGUUGCCUCGGCGGAUCAGCCCGCUCCCGGUAAAACGGGACGGCCCGCCAGAGGACCCCUAAACUCUGUUUCUAUAUGUAACUUCUGAGUAAAACCAUAAAUAAAUCAAAACUUUCAACAACGGAUCUCUUGGUUCUGGCAUCGAUGAAGAACGCAGCAAAAUGCGAUAAGUAAUGUGAAUUGCAGAAUUCAGUGAAUCAUCGAAUCUUUGAACGCACAUUGCGCCCGCCAGUAUUCUGGCGGGCAUGCCUGUUCGAGCGUCAUUUCAACCCUCAAGCACAGCUUGGUGUUGGGACUCGCGAUUAAUUCGCGUUCCUCAAAUUGAUUGGCGGUCACGUCGAGCUUCCAUAGCGUAGUAGUAAAACCCUCGUUACUGGUAAUCGUCGCGGCCACGCCGUUAAACCCCAACUUCUGAAUGUUGACCUCGGAUCAGGUAGGAAUACCCGCUGAACUUAAGCAUAUCAAUAAGCCGGAGGAA
rnacentral:rRNA from 1 species